UACGAAGGGGGCUAGCGUUGUUCGGAAUUACUGGGCGUAAAGCGUGCGCAGGCGGCUUCUCAAGUCAGGGGUGAAAGCCCAGAGCUCAACUCUGGAAUUGCCUUUGAGACUGAGUGGCUUGAGUACGAGAGAGGUGAGUGGAAUUCACGGUGUAGCAGUGAAAUGCGUAGAUAUCGUGAGGAACACCAGAGGCGAAGGCGGCUCACUGGCCCGAUACUGACGCUGAGGCACGAAAGCGUGGGGAGCAAACAGG
rnacentral:rRNA from 1 species